rnacentral:rRNA from 1 species
UACAGAGGGGGCUAGCGUUAUUCGGAAUUAUUGGGCGUAAAGGGCGCGUAGGCGGCCACGCGUGUCUUUCGUGAAAUCCCUCGGCUUAACUGAGGACGUGCGGAAGAAACUGCGAGGCUCGAGUCCGGGAGAGGGGGGUGGAAUUCCCAGUGUAGCGGUGAAAUGCGUAGAUAUUGGGAGGAACACCGGUGGCGAAGGCGGCCCCCUGGACCGGUACUGACGCUGAGGCGCGAAAGCGUGGGUAGCAAACGGG